AAAGUGUUUCUAGAAAA
rnacentral:rRNA from 1 species